ACAUAGUUGCUUGCAACUGAUGACGACCGGCGCACGGGUGCGUAACGCGUAUAGAACCUACCUUAUAGUAAGGGAUAGCCCAGAGAAAUUUGGAUUAAUACCUUAUAGUAUCGUUUAGAUGCAUAUUUAAAUGAUUAAAGAUUUAUCGCUAUAAGAUGGCUAUGCGUUCUAUUAGCUAGUUGGUAUGGUAACGGCAUACCAAGGCUACGAUAGAUAGGGGUCCUGAGAGGGAGAUCCCCCACACUGGUACUGAGACACGGACCAGACUCCUACGGGAGGCAGCAGUGAGGAAUAUUGGACAAUGGAGGCAACUCUGAUCCAGCCAUGCCGCGUGUAGGAAGACUGCCCUAUGGGUUGUAAACUACUUUUAUAGAGGAAGAAACCAUUCCACGUGUGGAAUGCUGACGGUACUCUACGAAUAAGGAUCGGCUAACUCCGUGCCAGCAGCCGCGGUAAUACGGAGGAUCCAAGCGUUAUCCGGAAUCAUUGGGUUUAAAGGGUCCGUAGGCGGUUUAGUAAGUCAGUGGUGAAAGUUUUCGGCUCAACCGGAAAAUUGCCAUUGAUACUGCAAGACUUGAAUUAUUGUGAAGUGGUUAGAAUGUGUAGUGUAGCGGUGAAAUGCAUAGAUAUUACACAGAAU
rnacentral:rRNA from 1 species